CGUCUAUAUACGUAUAGCAUAUCAAUAAGCGGAGGAAAAGAAACUAACAAGGAUUCCCUUAGUAACGGCGAGUGAAGCGGGAAGAGCUCAAAUUUGAAAUCUUCAAGGUUUUACCUUGACGAAUUGUAGUUUAAAGAAGUGUUUUCUGUUGGAGUUUUGGUAAAAGUUCUUUGGAAUAGGACAUCAUAGAGGGUGAGAAUCCCGUAUUUGACCAUUAUUUCCAGCUGUGUGAUACACUUUCAAAGAGUCGGAUUGUUUGGGAAUGCAGUCCAAAAUGGGUGGUAAAUUUCAUCUAAAGCUAAAUACUGGCGAGAGACCGAUAGCGAACAAGUACCGUGAGGGAAAGAUGAAAAGAACUUUGAAAAGAGAGUUAAACAGUACGUGAAAUUGUCAAAAGGGAAGCGUUUGACACCAGUGUUGUUUUCUCGAAAAUCAAUUAAAAAUGCAGUGGAUUUUGUAUUGUAAUUGACCUUUAUCAGCUUUACUGCUACUUUUUUCCUGAUCUUUUUAAUGCACUUUUCGUUUAACAAGUCAACAUCAAUUUCUUUUGUUGUAAAAGGGUCAUUGGAAGGUGGCUUUCACUUUCGGUGAAAGUGUUUAUAGCCUUUGACUUCUACAAUCGGAGAGAUUGAGGUCUGCAGCGUAGAUCCUUCGGGGUUAGAUACAGUUAGAUGCUAAGUUAUAGCCUUUUCUAUAGACAACUUGUUGACUAUGAUUAGUCAUGUAGCUUACUCGCUUAUGUUAGUUUUACCUACGCUUAGGAUGUUGAUCUGUAGUGCGUGCGC
rnacentral:rRNA from 1 species